rnacentral:rRNA from 1 species
UGGGGAAUAUUGCACAACGGGCGGAAGCCUGAUGCAGCAACGCCGCGUGCGGGAUGACGGCCUUCGGGUUGUAAACCGCUUUCGCCUGUGACGAAGCGUGAGUGACGGUAAUGGGUAAAGAAGCACCGGCUAACUACGUGCCAGCAGCCGCGGUGAUACGUAGGGUGCGAGCGUUGUCCGGAUUUAUUGGGCGUAAAGGGCUCGUAGGUGGUUGAUCGCGUCGGAAGUGUAAUCUUGGGGCUUAACUCUGAGCGUGCUUUCGAUACGGGUUGACUUGAGGAAGGUAGGGGAGAAUGGAAUUCCUGGUGAGCGGUGGAAUGCGCAGAUAUCAGGAGGAACACCAGUGGCGAAGGCGGUUCUCUGGGCCUUUCCUGACGCUGAGGAGCGAAAGCGUGGGGAGCGAACAGGCUUAGAUACCCUGGUAGUCCACGCUGUAAACGGUGGGUAC